CAGUCGCCGCGGUAAUACGUAGGGUGCGAGCGUUAAUCGGAAUUACUGGGCGUAAAGCGUGCGCAGGCGGUUGUGUAAGACAGGUGUGAAAUCCCCGGGCUUAACCUGGGAACUGCGCUUGUGACUGCACAGCUAGAGUAUGGCAGAGGGGGGUGGAAUUCCACGUGUAGCAGUGAAAUGCGUAGAGAUGUGGAGGAACACCGAUGGCGAAGGCAGCCCCCUGGGCCAAUACUGACGCUCAUGCACGAAAGCGUGGGGAGCAAACAGGAUUAGAGACCCGCGUAGUCCCUGUCUCUUAUAC
rnacentral:rRNA from 1 species